rnacentral:rRNA from 1 species
UACGAAGGGGGCGAGCGUUGUUCGGAAUUACUGGGCGUAAAGGGCGCGUAGGCGGCGCCGUAAGUCAGAUGUGAAAGCCCCGGGCUCAACCUGGGAACUGCAUUUGAUACUCUGGUGCUGGAGUUCGGGAGAGGAGAGUGGAAUUCCCAGUGUAGAGGUGAAAUUCGUAGAUAUUGGGAAGAACACCAGUGGCGAAGGCGACUCACUGGACACGUAUUGACGCUGAGGUGCGAAAGCGUGGGGAGCAAACAGG